GGAGAGGUGGCUGAGUGGUUGAUAGCUCCGGUCUUGAAAACCGGUAUAGUUUUGAUACUAUCGAGGGUUCGAAUCCCUGGACUCUCUCCU
rnacentral:tRNA from 1 species